rnacentral:rRNA from 1 species
UGGGGAAUAUUGCACAAUGGGCGCAAGCCUGAUGCAGCCAUGCCGCGUGUGUGAAGAAGGCCUUCGGGUUGUAAAGCACUUUCAGCGGGGAGGAAGGCGAUAAGGUUAAUAACCUUGUCGAUUGACGUUACCCGCAGAAGAAGCACCGGCUAACUCCGUGCCAGCAGCCGCGGUAAUACGGAGGGUGCAAGCGUUAAUCGGAAUUACUGGGCGUAAAGCGCACGCAGGCGGUUUGUUAAGUCAGAUGUGAAAUCCCCGGGCUCAACCUGGGAACUGCAUCUGAUACUGGCAAGCAUGAGUCUCGUAGAGGGGGGUAGAAUUCCAGGUGUAGCGGUGAAAUGCGUAGAGAUCUGGAGGAAUACCGGUGGCGAAGGCGGCCCCCUGGACGAAGACUGACGCUCAGGUGCGAAAGCGUGGGGAGCAAACAGG